rnacentral:rRNA from 1 species
CCAUGCCGCGUGCGGGAAGAAGGCCUUCGGGUUGUAAACCGCUUUUGUCCGGGAAGAAAAGGCAUCUCCCAAUACGGGAUGUUCUUGACGGUACUGGAAGAAUAAGCACCGGCUAACUACGUGCCAGCAGCCGCGGUAAUACGUAGGGUGCGAGCGUUAAUCGGAAUUACUGGGCGUAAAGCGUGCGCAGGCGGUGAGUUGAGUCUGAUGUGAAAGCCCCGGGCUCAACCUGGGAACGGCAUUGGAAACUGGCUCGCUGGAGUGUGGCAGAGGGGGGUGGAAUUCCGCGUGUAGCAGUGAAAUGCGUAGAGAUGCGGAGGAACACCGAUGGCGAAGGCAGCCCCCUGGGCCAACACUGACGCUCAGGCACGAAAGCGUGGGGAGCAAACAGGAUUAGAUACCCUGGUAGUCCACGCCCUAAACGAUGGCCACUGGGUGUUGGGGAAGCGAUUCCUUGGUACCGCAGCUAACGCGUGAAGUGGCCCGCCUGGGGAGUACGGCCGCAAGGUUA